rnacentral:tRNA from 1 species
GGCCCCUUCGUCUAGUGGCCUAGGACGUCGGGUUCUCAGCUCGAAGACAGGGGUUCGACUCCCCUAGGGGCUACCA